GACGAACGCUGACGGCGUGCUUAACACAUGCAAGUCGAACGGAAAGGCCCUGCUUUUGUGGGGUGCUCGAGUGGCGAACGGGUGAGUAACACGUGAGUAACCUGCCCUUGACUUUGGGAUAACUUCAGGAAACUGGGGCUAAUACCGGAUAGGAGCUCCUGCUGCAUGGUGGGGGUUGGAAAGUUUCGGCGGUUGGGGAUGGACUCGCGGCUUAUCAGCUUGUUGGUGGGGUAGUGGCUUACCAAGGCUUUGACGGGUAGCCGGCCUGAGAGGGUGACCGGCCACAUUGGGACUGAGAUACGGCCCAGACUCCUACGGGAGGCAGCAGUGGGGAAUAUUGCACAAUGGGCGGAAGCCCGAUGCAGCAACGCCGCGUGCGGGAUGACGGCCUUCGGGUUGUAAACCGCUUUCGCCUGUGACGAAGCGUGAGUGACGGUAAUGGGUAAAGAAGCACCGGCUAACUACGUG
rnacentral:rRNA from 1 species